GAUGAACGCUAGCUACAGGCUUAACACAUGCAAGUCGAGGGGCAGCAUGAUCAAAGCUUGCUUUGGUUGAUGGCGACCGGCGCACGGGUGAGUAACGCGUAUCCAACCUUCCCUAUAGUAGAGGAUAGCCCGGCGAAAGUCGGAUUAAUACUCUAUGUUGUAUUUCGAGGACAUCUGAAGAAUACCAAAGGCUUGCCGCUAUAGGAUGGGGAUGCGUCUGAUUAGGUAGUCGGCGGGGUAACGGCCCACCGAGCCAUCGAUCAGUAGGGGUUCUGAGAGGAAGGUCCCCCACAUUGGAACUGAGACACGGUCCAAACUCC
rnacentral:rRNA from 1 species